UCCGCCUUACAUAAUGGAUAACAGGCGAACACCCUAGAAAUCAUAUUAGAUAUAUACUAUUACCACCCAAAAAUAAAUCAAAACUGAAAAAUCCAUAAGGAAAGUAAGUAUUAACAUACAAAUUUGCAACGCAGAAGCGAAAAUGGAAAUGACGGAACAGGUUUGCACAACACGACUUUAUAAACCCCAGGAUCCGGAGCAAAGAUGGCCGCCCGAGCAGCAACGAAACUCGCCCCUCCUCUUCGCGAGCUCAGGAUUCACCUCUGCCAGCGAUCUGCGGCGAGUCAGGGCGUUAGGGACUUCAUUGAAAGCAGCUAUGUGGGACUAAAG